GGGCGAGGUAGUCAGGGAGCCUUCGGGCUCGCCGCUUCCUAUGCGCGGUCUACUAACCUGAUUAUCUCGCCC
rnacentral:antisense_RNA from 1 species